rnacentral:rRNA from 1 species
CGACCCAACCCGUUUGAGCGCCUGCCGCCUUGUCGUCUCCACCAAACUCAACUCCCCCACCACUCCCCCUCCCCUCCGCAUCUCGCCACUCCCCCGCCUCGUCCCUCUCUCCGGCGACCUCUCCGGCGGCGGAACGGUCGCCGCAUGGAGCUGUAGGCCUAGCGCUGAAGCUAUCUCCUUGCCCCUGCGCCGGCUGCGGCCAUGGCCAACUAUCUGGCGCAGUUCCAGACCAUCAAGUCCUCCUCGGACCGCAUCGUCAUCGCCGUUGAGGAUGUGAGUGACUUGUGGCUCAACGUCAAAGAUAGUUUUGAGCAACGCUUGCCAGUCAAGAAAGCCUGUCUCAAUAACAAGGCGAGGAACCCCGUUUUAGUGGAAAACCUACCAGCUGAGUUUAUACAGACAACUGAUUCAAGGCUGCGUAGUCGAUUUCCGCAAGAACAAUACUUGUUUUGGUUUCGCGAACCAUAUGCUACUGUUGUUCUUGUUACUUGCGAGGAUCUUGAUGAGUUCAAGACCAUUCUUAAGCCUCGCCUCAAAUUAAUUGUGCAAAAUGAUGAGAGAGAAUGGUUCAUUGUAUUUGUGUCGAAGGCCCAUCCUAGCAAUGAUCAAGCAACUAAGAUGGCAAAGAAAGUAUACGCUAGGCUUGAGGCCGAUUUCAACACUAAAAAGAGAGAAAGGUGCUGCAAAUUUGAUCUUCAUGGACCUGAUGAUGAAUUCUGGGACGAUUUUGACUCGAAAAUGGUGGACUGCAUAAGAAACACAUUGGAUAAAAGGGUCCAGUUCUAUGAAGAAGAAAACCGCAGGUUAAGUGAGCAGCGAUUCACACCAAUAUGGAACUUCUGCAACUUUUUUAUUCUGAAGGAAAGCUUGGCAUUUAUGUUUGAGGUGACUAAUCUUCAUGAAGAUUCACUCCGUGAAUAUGAUGAGCUUGAACUAUGCUAUUCAGAAUCAGUUAAUCUCCCAGGGAAACCUCGAGAAUUUGGAGGACUGGAUACUGGUGAUGAUCAGGCUGCGCUGCUAAAUCCAGGGUUCAAAGCGUUGACCCAGAUUGUUCAGGAUGACGUGUUCAGGGAAUUUGAGUUUAGGCAAUACAUAUUUGCUUGCCAGGCUAAGUUAUUAUUUAAACUGUCUCGACCAGUUGAGGUUGCUGCAAGAGGAUAUGCUUUUGUUGUCAGCUUUUCCAAGACGCUAGCCUUGCAUGAGAAUGCACUACCCUUUUGUUUCCGCGAAGUAUGGGUGAUAACUGCUUGUUUGGGUUUAAUUAAAUCCACAAGUACACAAUAUGAUGGUGGAGUUGUUGCUAUUGAUUCAGAGAAGGAGUUCUAUCGUCUUCAGGGUGACCUUUAUUCUCUCUGUCGUGCUAAGUUUAUGAGGCUUGCUUAUUUGAUUGGUUAUGGGGUUGAAAUAGAAAAAAGUCCAGUCAACAGUGCCUCAUUAAGCAUGCUAUCUUGGCCAAAGCCAGCUACUUGGCCUUCGAUUCCGCCUGAUUCGUCGGCAGAAGUAAUGGCAAAGGAGAAGACAAUUCUUCAAGCAAAAGCAAGAGAAAAGCUCUUUGACAUUCAGAGGAAACCACUGCCAUUGGAACCUUCUUCUCUUCUACGUGAAGCUAAUAGGCGUAGAGCUUUUCUUUCAGUUGGAAAUUUGUCUGAAUUAUAUGAUUCAGUUGAUGGUUCAGGUUUAGGUGCACAUUCAAAACUUUCUCCCAACAAAUCUUCUUCUAACUUGAUGACAAGAACUAUGUCUGGGCCAGCAACCUCUGAGACUUCUCUACCAGUUGAUCGGCCUAUGAGGUUGUCAGAAAUUCAUGUUGCUGCUGAGCAUGCAUUGAAACAGACGAUAUCUGAUCCUGAUUUUAUGACGUCACUUUCAUCACCAGAAGAGUUUGAGAGUAGAUAUAUGGAGCUUACUAAAGGCGCAGCUGACAAUUAUCACCGCUCUUGGUGGAAAAGACAUGGAGUUGUGCUUGAUGGAGAGAUUGCAGCUAUAUUUUUUAAGCAUGGGAAUUAUGACCUGGCUGCAAAAUCCUAUGAGAAAGUGUGUGCUCUCUAUUCUGCAGAAGGCUGGGAAGAACUGUUGGCAGAUGUUCUUCCUGAUCUUGCAGAAUGCCAGAAGAUUCUUAAAGACGAAGCUGGUUAUCUGGCUUCCUGUGUGAAGUUACUGUCUCUUGAGAGUAGCUUGUUUUCAUCUAAAGAGCGGCAGGCUUUCCAGUCAGAGGUUGUUCGGCUUGCUCACAGUGAAAUGAGGCAUCCUGUACCCCUUGAUGUUUCAUCAUUAAUUACAUUCGCUGGAAAUCCUGCUCCGCCACUAGAAUUAUGUGAUGGCGAUCCUGGUACACUAUCUGUAGCAGUCUGGAGUGGCUUCCCAGAUGACAUAACACUUGAGUCUCUCAGUUUAAGAUUGUCAGCUUUCUCUAGUGCAGAUGAAGGUCUUAAGGCAAUAAGGAGUACAGAUGCACGUGUUCUUGUACCAGGUAGAAAUAUUAUCACCUUCGACAUUCCUCCUCAAAAGCCAGGUUCCUAUGUGUUGGGCGCUCUCACUGGACAGAUUGGCAAGCUGUCAUUCAGAUCACAUGGAUUUUCUCAAGAUGGUCCAGUGGACACUGAUGAAUUCAUGAGCUUUGAGAAGCCAACAAGACCUGUUUUGAAGGUGAGAAAACCGAGGGCUUUGGUUGAUAUUACUCCUGCUGUAUCAUCUGCGUUGCUUAUGAAUGAACUCCAGUGGAUCGGGUUGAUUGUCAAGCCUAUAGACUAUUCUUUGAAAGGUGGCAUACUGCAUAUAGAUGCCGGUGCUGAACUAAAAAUUGAGGAGUCUCAGAUGAUUGAGAUAGAAAGUUACAGAAGCGAUGGGGAGCAUUCUAGUCCUAUUGAUGCUUCCAAGGUAUUAUCAAGGCCCACUGAUACUGGAAGGGUUGAGAAGGUUCCUAUCGAAAAUGGGAAGAUAAAACUGCCAGAUUGGGCUAGUGACGUGACAACGCUUGUUUGGUUCCCUGUUCGUGCUAUCGACGAUACAGUUCCAAAGGGAACAUCCCCAGCAUCCCCUCAGAAACAUAGCAUAGUAGAUGGGAUGAGAAUGAUUGCUCUCAAGCUUGAAUUUGGAGCUUUCCAUAAUCAAAUAUUUGAAAGGACCAUUGCCGUACAUUUCACUAAUCCAUUCCAUGUGAGCACACGUGUUGUUGACAAGUGCAAUGAUGGAACUCUACUUCUGCAGGUAAUAUUGCAUUCUGAAGUGAAGGCUACUCUGCAUGUAAAGGAUGUAUCAUUGGACCUACAAGCUGGAUUUGAGCACCUAGGCAAGGGAGAUGGACGUCCGACUUCGAGUUUGUUCCCUCUGGUUAUUGCUCCUUCUUCCAAAGCUGGAAUCUUGUUUGUGAUACGUUUAAGUGGCACAAAAGACCUAGAUGAGCUGGAACAGGCUGACAGCAUGUUGCAUAUUAAAUACGGGAUAUCCGGUGACCGAGCAACCGGAGCACACUCUCCAGUUCCUGUUAAACCUGAUGAUUCUGAAGAGCUUCUAUUCAAGAUUUCACUCAAACUGAAGCGCCCUGUUCUAGAUCCAUGCCUGGCAGUUGGAUUCCUUCCGUUUUCUACCGAUUGCCUGAGGGUUGGUCAAUUAGUCAACAUGAAAUGGCGGGUUGAAAGGCUGAAGGACCUGGAGGAAGCAUCUCUGUCUGACGAUGAAAUACUUUAUCAGGUGGACGCUAAUCCACAGAACUGGAUGGUUGCUGGGAGGAAAAGCGGUCACAUUUCAUUCUCAGAAGCACAAGGAUCAAGGAUCGAGAUCGCCGUGACAUGUGUCCCGCUGGUGUCGGGGUACGUGCACCCGCCCCAGCUAGGCCUGCCCGACGUAGGCGAUGCGAAUAUCAGCUGCAAUCCGGCAGGUCCCCACCUGGUGUGCGUGCUUCCUCCCACUCUCAGCACCUCCUACUGCAUACCGGCUUGAUUCAUGAGCCAUCCGUGCCAUUACGUUAGCUACUUAUAGAGGUCACCAUUUGAGAUACAAGGUGUUCUGUUUUUGCAUGGAGGCGGCCACCAUUUGAGAUACAAGUCGAAUGAAGCAAGUGGAAGGAGCUCUCGUUUCAGCAAGCAGAAGAAGCUCCUUCGUUAAGCUUUUGAUGGCUGACAACACUAUGCAAUCAGAAAGUUUGCUCGCCAAUCCCAAAUUGGCCGCUUCCUCCAGUUCUUUUUUUCUGAAUUGCGCUUCCUCUUGUUGUUGCAACAACAAUCAUUGUAAGGAAUGGAUGGUUAAGACAUGCAAUUUGUUUUGCGUGAAAGAACCGCUCAAUCUAUUAAAUUUUUCAGCA